UACCAGCACCCCGAGUGGUCGGGGCGUUUAUUGGGCCUAAAGCAUCCGUAGCCGGUUCUACAAGUCUUCCGUUAAAUCCACCUGCUUAACAGAUGGGCUGCGGAAGAUACUAUAGAGCUAGGAGGCGGGAGAGGCAAGCGGUACUCGAUGGGUAGGGGUAAAAUCCGUUGAUCCAUUGAAGACCACCAGUGGCGAAGGCAGCUUGCCAGAACGCGCUCGACGGUGAGGGAUGAAAGCUGGGGGAGCAAACCGG
rnacentral:rRNA from 1 species